UAGGGAGGAGAGACACAGGGGGGUGCAGAGAGGCCAGGGGGAAGCUGCCUAGGGGGUCCAGGGACAAACAGCUGGGCCUAGCCUGACCCAGAAGCCUGAUGCAGCCAGAAGCAUGGCCACCCGCUAGGCCUGUCCAUAGUCCUGGGAGGGGGCAGCUGGACCACGAGCACCCCUUGCUCCCCAUUUUGUGCUGAGUGAGCUCUGCCUCUUUAUGCCAAGGACAAGGUGCCCCUCCUCCAGUCUGCCACACACCGUGGUGGGCAGAGGGGUCCCAGGCUGGAUUCCAGCCCAAACCACUCUCCCGUUCCAGGGACCAGCUGCAGGCCACAAAGUACACAGUGCGUGUUGUGGCCUUGGCCUGGCACAGACUCAGAGCCCGCCCACAGGCCAGAGUCCCAGGGAAGUCAGUUUCAUCUCCGCAUAGGGCAUAACUUUCUAGUAAUCUCUGUUGACCAAGAAGAGACAGGGGCAGAGUCAGGGUUGGGACAAAGCUCGGGGGGGCCUGUCACAGACAGACUCACAGACAGGCACACCCAGGGACAGGCAGACCCACAGACAGGCACACUUAGGGACAGGCCAACCCACAGACAGGGGCACCCAGGGACAGUCAGACCAACGAACAGGUGCACACAGGGGCGGGCCGACCCACAGGCAGGCGCACCCAGGGACAGGCGGGCCCACAUACAGGCGCACCCAGAGACAGGCGGACCCCAGACAGGUGCACCCAGGGACAGGCAGACCCACAGACAGACGCACCCAGGGGUGGGAGGCACAUAGGGAGGGACAACCACAAGGCGGGGGCCAACCCUCCUGGGGAGAUGCGUGCACCCGCAGACCUGUGCCGAAAGACAGAAGGAUGUGCACCUCAAGUCAGACAGCAUGUGCCCACACACGCUUGCACACGCAUACACUCAGAGGAUGCCCAGUCACACGGCCCCGUGCGGCUCCCAAGCCCCGGACAAUCUGGGCAGGUUUGUAUCGGGGAGAGAUGUCGAAGGUGGAGGAGGACAGGGUAAGGUUUCUUGCCCUCCAGUCCACAAACCAUCAGCCCUGGAGAGCGUUCUGCGUGCCUGCAAAAGGGCAGCAGGAAGAAAUAAUAGAUGAGAACAACAAAGAGCCGUGAAGGCAUCGAAACACCAGCUUCGAGGGAGCCGCUUGAGAGAGCAGCCCUCGGGAAGGCUCCCCCACCAUGUCGCCUGUUGCUGGGGAUGAAACCAACUUGGGGUCAGAUGGAGGGGGCUCCAUGGGAGGGAGAGCCCAGGGAGAAGCAGGUCGGGGCAGGAGUCUCGGCCUGAUACCCAUUGGCCCUCCCUGGACACCGCAGGCCGGGGACGCUGUGCAGACCACCCUGUAGGGGCGUCAGACACAGAGCAGCUUACGCGGAGGCCUCUCUCAGAAUGGCCGCAGCAGGUCACACAGUUAGUGUCUCAAAGCCCUGCAGAGCUCUGAAUGCAGGUUUGGGGACUGGAGAUGACCUUCGAGGCUGGCCCCUGAGUGAGGGGAACAGCAGUGCUGGAUUCAGGAAAAUCUCCCCGGGAACCCAAGUGGGGAGCACAGACUCA
rnacentral:lncRNA from 10 species